AACGAACGCUGGCGGCAGGCUUAACACAUGCAAGUCGAACGCCCGUAGCAAUACGGGAGUGGCAGACGGGUGAGUAACGCGUGGGAAUCUUCCCAAAGGUACGGAACAACUCAGGGAAACUUGAGCUAAUACCGUAUGUGCCCGAGAGGGCAAAGAUUUAUCGCCUUUGGAUGAGCCCGCGUUGGAGUAGCUAGUUGGUGGGGUAAUGGCCUACCAAGGCGACGAUCCAUAGCUGAUCUGAGAGGAUGAUCAGCCACACUGGGACUGAGACACGGCCCAGACUCCUACGGGAGGCAGCAGUGGGGAAUCUUGGACAAUGGGCGAAAGCCUGAUCCAGCCAUGCCGCGUGAGUGAAGAAGGCCUUAGGGUUGUAAAGCUCUUUUGCCCGGGAAGAUAAUGACGGUACCGGGAGAAUAAGCCCCGGCAAACUUCGUGCCAGCAGCCGCCGUAAUAC
rnacentral:rRNA from 1 species